rnacentral:rRNA from 1 species
CCCUGGCUCAGGACGAACGCGGGCGGCGUGCCUAAUACAUGCAAGUCGAGCGAAUCGAUGGGAGCUUGCUCCCUGAGAUUAGCGGCGGACGGGUGAGUAACACGUGGGCAACCUGCCUAUAAGACUGGGAUAACUUCGGGAAACCGGAGCUAAUACCGGAUACGUUCUUUUCUCGCCUGAGAGAAGAUGGAAAGACGGCCUCUAGCUGUCACUUAUAGAUGGGCCCGCGGCGCAUUAGCUAGUUGGUGAGGUAAUGGCUCACCAAGGCGACGAUGCGUAGCCGACCUGAGAGGGUGAUCGGCCACACUGGGACUGAGACACGGCCCAGACUCCUACGGGAGGCAGCAGUAGGGAAUCUUCCGCAAUGGACGAAAGUCUGACGGAGCAACGCCGCGUGAACGAAGAAGGCCUUCGGGUCGUAAAGUUCUGUUGUUAGGGAAGAACAAGUACCAGAGUAACUGCUGGUACCUUGACGGUACCUAACCAGAAAGCCACGGCUAACUA